rnacentral:rRNA from 1 species
UACGUAGGGGGCUAGCGUUGUCCGGAAUCAUUGGGCGUAAAGAGCGUGUAGGCGGCCCGGUAAGUCCGCUGUGAAAGUCGGGGGCUCAACCCUCGAAAGCCGGUGGAUACUGUCGGGCUCGAGUCCGGAAGAGGCGAGUGGAAUUCCUGGUGUAGCGGUGAAAUGCGCAGAUAUCAGGAGGAACACCAAUGGCGAAGGCAGCUCGCUGGGACGUGACUGACGCUGAGACGCGAAAGCGUGGGGAGCAAACAGG